rnacentral:rRNA from 1 species
AUCAACUUUCGAUUGGUAGGAUAGAGGCCUACCAUGGUGGUAACGGGUAACGGGGUGUUAGGGCACGACACCGGAGAGGGAGCCUGAGAAACGGCUACCACAUCCAAGGAUGGCAGCAGGCGCGCAAAUUACCCAAUCCCGACACGGGGAGGUAGUGACAAUAAAUAACAAUACGGGGUUCUUUAGGAUUUCGUAAUUGGAAUGAGUACAAUUUAAAUCUCUUAACGAGGAACAAUUGGAGGGCAAGUCUGGUGCCAGCAGCCGCGGUAAUUCCAGCUCCAAUAGCGUAUAUUAAAGUUGUUGCAGUUAAAAAGCUCGUAGUUGAAUUUCGGGGUCAGUAGAUUGGUCAUGCCACUGGUAUGUACUGGUCUCACUGAUUCCUCCUUCCUGAUGAGCCGUAAUGCCAUUAAUUUGGUGUUGCGAGGAAUCUGGACUGUUACUUUGAAAAAAUUAGAGUGUUUAAAGCAGGCUAACGCUUGAAUACAUUAGCAUGGAAUAAUGAAAUAGGACGUUUGAUUCUAUUUUGUUGGUUUCUAGGAUCGACGUAAUGAUUAAUAGGGAUAGUUGGGGGCAUUAGUAUUCAAUUGUCAGAGGUGAAAUUCUUGGAUUUAUUGAAGACUAACUACUGCGAAAGCAUUUGCCAAGGAUGUUUUCAUUAAUCAAGAACGAAAGUUAGGGGAUCGAAGACGAUCAGAUACCGUCGUAGUCUUAACCAUAAACUAUGCCGACUAGGGAUCGGAUGAUGUUAUUUUUAAUGACUCAUUCGGCGCCUUACGGGAAACCAAAGUGUUUGGGUUC